UGUAUAAGUGACAGCAGCAGCCGCGGUAAUACGUAGGGGGCAAGCGUUAUCCGGAACUAUUGGGCGUAAAGAGUGCGUAGGUGGUCUACUAAGCGCGAGGUGAAAGGCAAUGGCUCAACCAUUGUUAGCCUUGCGAACUGGCAGACUUGAGUGCAAGAGAGGAAAGCGGAAUUCCUAGUGUAGCGGUGAAAUGCGCAGAUAUUUGUAGGAAUGCCGAUGGGGAAGCCAGCUUACUGGACAGAUACUGACGCUAAAGCGCGAAAGCGUGGGUAGCAAACAGGAUUAGAGACCCCUGUAGUCCCUGUCUCUUAUACA
rnacentral:rRNA from 1 species